rnacentral:rRNA from 1 species
UCCGGAGCUAACGCGUUAAGUCGACCGCCUGGGGAGUACGGCCGCAAGGUUAAAACUCAAAUGAAUUGACGGGGGCCCGCACAAGCGGUGGAGCAUGUGGUUUAAUUCGAUGCAACGCGAAGAACCUUACCUGGUCUUGACAUCCAGAGAAUCCUGCAGAGAUGCGGGAGUGCCUUCGGGAACUCUGAGACAGGUGCUGCAUGGCUGUCGUCAGCUCGUGUUGUGAAAUGUUGGGUUAAGUCCCGCAACGAGCGCAACCC